rnacentral:rRNA from 1 species
AACGAACGCUGGCGGCAUGCCUAACACAUGCAAGUCGAACGAAGCCUUCGGGCUUAGUGGCGCACGGGUGCGUAACGCGUGGGAAUCUGCCCUCGGUUCGGAAUAACAGUUAGAAAUAGACUGCUAAUACCGGAUGAUGACGAAAGUACCAAAGAAUUUAUUCGCCGAGGGAUGAGCCCGCGUAGGAUUAGCUUGUUGGUGGGGUAAGUGGCCACCAAGGCGACGAUCCUUAGCUGGUCUGAGAGGAUGAUCAGCCACACUGGGACUGAGACACGGCCCAGACUCCUACGGGAGGCAGCAGUGGGGAAUAUUGGACAAUGGGCGGAAAGACCUGAUCCAGCAAUGCCGCGUGAGUGAUGAAGACUAGGUGUAAGACUCUUUUACCUA